rnacentral:rRNA from 1 species
GUGGAUUAGAUACCCUGGUAGUCCUGGCCGUAAACGUUGGGCACUAGGUGUUGGAGGCAUCGACCCCUCCAGUGCCGUAGCUAACGCAUUAAGUGCCCCGCCUGGGGAGUACGGCCGCAAGGUUGAAACUCAAAGGAAUUGACGGGGGCCCGCACAAGCGGUGGAGCAUGUGGUUUAAUUCGACGCAACGCGAAGAACCUUACCCAGACUUGACAUGCACGGGACCGGUGUUGAAAGACACCUUCCCUUCGGGGCUCGUGCACAGAUGCUGCAUGGCUGUCGACAACU